UCGGGAAUUUUGGGCAAUGGGCGAGAGCCUGACCCAGCAACGCCGCGUGAGGGAUGAAGUAUUUCGGUAUGUAAACCUCGAAAGAAUGGGAAGAAUAAAUGACGGUACCAUUUAUAAGCUCCGGCUAACUACGUGCCAGCAGCCGCGGUAAUACGUAGGGAGCAAGCGUUGUUCGGAUUUACUGGGCGUAAAGGGCGCGUAGGCGGCGCGGUAAGUCACUUGUGAAAUCUCUGAGCUUAACUCAGAACGGCCAAGUGAUACUGCUGUGCUAGAGUGCGGAAGAGGCAACCGGAAUUCUUGGUGUAGCGGUGAAAUGCGUAGAUAUCAAGAGGAACACCUGAGGCGAAGGCGGGUUGCUGGGCCGACACUGACGCUGAUGCGCGAAAGCCAGGGGAGCAAACG
rnacentral:rRNA from 1 species